AUGGUUCCAUGCCCAAAACAGUUCCAGAGUAUUAGGCUGUGCGGUUGGUCUACUUCUGGGAUUCGAAGUAACAAUAAAAUACAGAACAUAGAGAGUUUGUAUGGCACUUAGUCUAUGUCUCUCCUUUGAGAGUUUGUUCUUACCGAAAGCUGUUCGAAUAGCCGAACAUCCAUGGAAGGUAAGUAGUGAGCGGUGUUCAUGCCGUCGAG